rnacentral:rRNA from 1 species
AUUGAACGCUGGCGGCAUGCUUUACACAUGCCAGUCGAACGGCAGCGCGGGCUUCGGCCUGGCGGCGAGUGGCGAACGGGUGAGUAAUACAUCGGAACGUGCCCAGUAGUGGGGGAUAGCUCGGCGAGAGCCGGAUUAAUACCGCAUACGACCUGAGGGUGAAAGCGGGGGAUCUUCGGACCUCGCGCUAUUGGAGCGAGCGAUGGCAGAUUAGCUAGUUGGUGGGGUAAAUGCCUACCAAGGCGACGAUCGGUAGCUGGUCUGAGAGGAAGACCAGCCACAUUGGGACUGAGACACGGCCCAGACUCCUACGGGAGGAAGCAGUGGGGAAUUUUGGACAAUGGGCGAAAGCCUGAUCCAGCAAUGCCGCGUGUGUGAUGAAGGCCUUCGGGUUGUAAAGCACUUUUGGCGGGAACGAAAAGGACUGUGCUAAUACCACGGUUCGAUGACGGUACCCGCAGAAUAAGCACCGGCUAACUACGUG